AUUAUUGGGCGUAAAGAGCUCGUAGGCGGUUUGUCGCGUCUGUCGUGAAAGUCCGGGGCUUAACCCCGGAUCUGCGGUGGGUACGGGCAGACUACAGUGCAGUGGGGGAGACUGGAAUUCCUGGUGUAGCGGUGGAAUGCGCAGAUAUCAGGAGGAACACCGAUGGCGAAGGCAGGUCUCUGGGCUGUAACUGACGCUGAGGAGCGAAAGCAUGGGGAGCGAACAGGAUUAGAUACCCUGGUAGUCCAUGCCGUAAACGUUGGGCACUAGGUGUGGGGACCAUUCCACGGUUUCCGCGCCGCAGCUAACGCAUUAAGUGCCCCGCCUGGGGAGUACGGCCGCAAGGCUAAAACUCAAAGGAAUUGACGGGGGCCCGCACAAGCGGCGGAGCAUGCGGAUUAAUUCGAUGCAACGCGAAGAACCUUACCAAGGCUUGACAUGUUCUCGAUCGCCGUAGAGAUACGGUUUCCCCUUUGGGGCGGGUUCACAGGUGGUGCAUGGUUGUCGUCAGCUCGUGUCGUGAGAUGUUGGGUUAAGUCCCGCAACGAGCGCAACCCUCGUUCCAUGUUGCCAGCACGUAAUGGUGGGGACUCAUGGGAGACUGCCGGGGUCAACUCGGAGGAAGGUGAGGACGACGUCAAAUCAUCAUGCCCCUUAUGUCUUGGGCUUCACGCAUGCUACAAUGGCCGGUACAAUGGGUUGCGAUACUGUGAGGUGGAGCUAAUCCCAAAAAGCCGGUCUCAGUUCGGAUUGGGGUCUGCAACUCGACCCCAUGAAGUCGGAGUCGCUAGUAAUCGCAGAUCAGCAACGCUGCGGUGAAUACGUUCCCGGGCCUUGUACACACCGCCCGUCAAGUCACGAAAGUUGGUAACACCCGAAGCCGGUGGCCUAACCCUUGUGGGGGGAGCCGUCGAAGGUGGGACCAGCGAUUGGGACUA
rnacentral:rRNA from 1 species